rnacentral:rRNA from 1 species
GGUAUCGCCAAUGGUGGCACAGGUGGGGGCCUCUUGGAAAAGGGCACCACAGAGGGUGUGAGUCCUGUUUGCCAUCUGUAGUCCGCCGUGUACGGCAUGCCUCCUCAGAGUCACGUUCCUUGGAAUUGGAGCGCGAAGGUGGGUGGUGGCUUUCAUCUCAAGCUAAGUAUGGGUUCGAGACCGAUAGCAAACAAGUACCAUGAGGGAAAAUUGAAAAGAGCUUUGGAAAGAGAGUUAAAAGUGCCCGAACUUGCUGAUAGGGAAGCGAAGGGAGCUGACGUUGCUUGGUAACAUCUUCUGCGCAAGACUAGGAUGGGUUCUGAUUGCAAUGUGUGUAGUGUUUCUUGCCGUGCGUGUCGAUGCCAAGCAAUGAGUGGAGAGAGCUCCAGGGAUAUGAUUGUUUCUGUCCCCGGGUAGACGAAGGUGCCUGGUUGCAUCCAUUCGUGGGCUGAAAAAUUGGUGGCUGGUUGCAGCAUUCCCUUGCCAACUAAUGCAAUUGGAGUGUAGCCCUGACAUGCAGACCGGAGGACAAAGU